rnacentral:rRNA from 1 species
CCUGGUGAGCAUACGCGCGGGGAAACGCCUGUUCCCAUUCCGAACACAGAAGCUAAGCCCGUCGCGGCCGAUGGUAGUCCUAACGGGUGAGAGUAGGUCAUCGCCAGGA